rnacentral:ncRNA from 2 species
CUCUCAAGGAGCGUUGCAGCGCCGGUCCCGCCGGCGUCAGGCUUGAGACCCACAACGACGCUCACCUCGA